rnacentral:rRNA from 1 species
AUCAUUAACUGAAUCCAUAGGUUAAUGAGGCGAACCGGGGGAACUGAAACAUCUAAGUAACCCGAGGAAAAGAAAUCAACCGAGAUUCCCCCAGUAGCGGCGAGCGAACGGGGAGCAGCCCAGAGCCUGAAUCAGUGUGUGUGUUAGUGGAAGCGUCUGGAAAGGCGUGCGAUACAGGGUGACAGCCCCGUACACAAAAAUGCACAUAUUGUGAGCUCGAUGAGUAGGGCGGGACACGUGGUAUCCUGUCUGAAUAUGGGGGGACCAUCCUCCAAGGCUAAAUACUCCUGACUGACCGAUAGUGAACCAGUACCGUGAGGGAAAGGCGAAAAGAACCCCGGCGAGGGGAGUGAAAAAGAACCUGAAACCGUGUACGUACAAGCAGUGGGAGCACGCUUAGGCGUGUGACUGCGUACCUUUUGUAUAAUGGGUCAGCGACUUAUAUUCUGUAGCAAGGUUAACCGAAUAGGGGAGCCGAAGGGAAACCGAGUCUUAACUGGGCGUUAAGUUGCAGGGUAUAGACCCGAAACCCGGUGAUCUAGCCAUGGGCAGGUUGAAGGUUGGGUAACACUAACUGGAGGACCGAACCGACUAAUGUUGAAAAAUUAGCGGAUGACUUGUGGCUGGGGGUGAAAGGCCAAUCAAACCGGGAGAUAGCUGGUUCUCCCCGAAAGCUAUUUAGGUAGCGCCUCGUGAAUUCAUCUCCGGGGGUAGAGCACUGUUUCGGCAAGGGGGUCAUCCCGA